GAAAUGCGAUAGGUAAUGUGAAUUGCAGAAUUCAGUGAAUCAUCGAAUCUUUGAACGCAUCUUGCGCUCCUUGGUAUUCCGAGGAGCAUGCCUGUUUGAGUGUCAUCUUAAUCCUCAAAACCACAUUUUGAUUCUUUCAGUGUGGCUUUGGAAGUGGGGGUAUAAUUUGCAGGUGUCAUCUUUAACAAAUGAAGUCUGCUCCCCUGAAAUGCAUUAGUGGUAUCUGAGCAGAGAACUACUACAGGUGUGAUAAUUUAUCUAUGCCUUGGUAAUACUGCAGGAACAGAUUGCACUGCUUAUAACCAAAAACCUUUAUAUUUUUUGGAGACCUCAAAUCAGGUAGGACUACCCGCUGAACUUAAGCAUAUCAAUAAGCGGAGGAAAAGAAACUAACAAGGAUUCCCCUAGU
rnacentral:rRNA from 1 species